CAUACGAACCAUGCAACCGUGAUCUUCACCUCGCUUUCCACGUUUCAAAGUGAAUAGAAAAUGAAAAAAAUAAAUAAAGAGCACAAAAUUCCACCUCUUGGACUACUGAUGCCAAUCUACCAUGUAUCUGUUGUGUGACGUUUCCUGCUGACGCUCAUACGGUCAUGUUCCAACUAGCGACGGGGAUGGGAUCACGUUGACUUCGCUCCAGCGAUUCAUCUGAUGAACGACCCGAUUGAAUGUAACACUCAAAAAAGAGACGAAAGGGCGCAACAGUUUUGACCGUUUACCUUCUUUAAAGCCACGUUUGCACUCCGACCCCCCAUCGACAUCCCUGGAUACGGGCGUGCUUGUCUUAAAAGUUAUAUCUUCUUUCUAUCAACUCUCUUCAGUGUGGAAUGCAGAUAGAGGACAUAUGUUAUCGCAGUUGUCAGAGAGAAUCGACCCAACGUUAUAAUCAUGUUAUGAAGAGUAGGAGGGCCGAGGAGAGGUAGGGAUAUUGGAUGUAUGAAUAGAUAUAAACAGACACAGAAGCCAUGAUUAUCAUUAAUAAUUGUAUCAAAGGCUCGAACUCUUAUUGCUGUGAGAAAUUCAUUCACGUAAACAUGAUCUCGUCCUAGCUAGGUCUACUACAAUGUCUUGCCUGCUGUCCAUGAUUCGUCACGUGAUAGAUAACAUCAAUCCACAGACCCAUUACCCGCUCUAGUUCAGACUAGUUAACACGUAAUCACUUGAUUUCAUCUCAAGUCUCGGCAAGGCCGGGUUGAGACACUGAAAUAUUUGAAUGUAAAUAGAGUCAGAAUGUGUUGGACCGAUUGUCCGACGGCUCAGGAUGACUGGGACAACGUCAUGUUUAAUCGUCGAGUUCUUACCCGUCGAUGUCAGCCUGAAUGAUUGAAGAGGAUGCUGUGUACAUUAAACAAGGUAUUAGGUUAGGACAACCCAGCCAUAGGAGAACUGAUAAAUGAAGCUUUAAUGAAAGACACGUGUAAACGGAAGUGACGAGAUUGAUCGCAUACUUGACCCCAAAGAAGGGUCAAAUAACUCAUCAGGAGUUAAAUGGUGUUAAGUGACAUCCGUGUCUGGCAUGCCAACCAUGUCAACUAGCAUCAUCGUAUGGGGGUACCUAAUAUCGAGGUAGAUUAAUUGGCAAUGUACAUGUAGAGGUGGGUAAAGUACUCCACAUCAACCGGUAGUGGUGGCUGUGGCAGCAGAAUGUUUUUAAGGCCAAAUAAUGAAUACUCUUAUCAGAUAUUCUAAAAAAGAAAUAUAUCAACCAAAACCGGCUUAUAUAUGUGGCUAACAUACCCUUAAUCUAUGAUAAUUGUAGUUUGAAAAUGAAAAAGAAGUUUAAGAAGGAAAAUUCAGAAAUAAAAAUGUAUGCUGUGAUGCAGAUGGUGUUCCAUUUUACAAUUUUACAAUAAAUAAGCUACAUUACUUCCCAGUUACCAUCCAUGUGGUAUGCUAUUUGCGCACUACGAAACAUUGCAAGUUCAUCCAUACUUCAGGCUGAAAAGAGGUACAUAAUUAUUUGGUAGCAUACAGAAUAUCAUCUGCUGGUGUUUAGCAAUCAAUUACUACCAGCCAGCCUACAGUCAUACUGUUUCCCUACAAAAGAAAACAUGCCAACGGUCGCGUGCAGAUUGAUUGACAACGUGUCCUCAGGAGAAACAAACCCUCCGUUUCUGCUAAUUGGAAAUCUAUAGAAGCAACAUCACGAAGAACUAGUUUAUUUUGCUCUUCGGUAGUAUCUGUACAAUGACUACUUGACUCUCACUAUGUUAUUGUGGAACUUUAUAAAUUGUAAAAUGAGUGAAUCACACCAUGAUCAUCACAUGUAACAAUGAACAAAACUUGCUUCUUUGAUGUUUCACUUUCGCAUUAAAACACGAGGGGUUAACGAGACGGUAGACGUCACCAUAUGUCACUUUGUCGAAAUUCCAGUCUAGAAUGAUGCGAGAGAGGGUGUCAUUGUAAGGUUCAUCAAUCAAAAUUCGAUCAUUUUGCUCCAACCCCUAAAACAUACGACUGGCAAUAGAAAAUGUAGUCAAAAUAAAGGUCUUUACUUUAAAAUGUGAUCGAAUUUUUCACACUUUAAAAAGAGUCACGCAUGAAAAAGAGGUCACAAAAUACCACACAGUUAUAUUCAUGUUCUUUGUGUACAUAUUUGGGACAAAAGUGAAUGAAACGUGCACCUCAUGCCCUCUGGAUCCGUACCACAUAAUUUAUUUACACCCGUGAGAAAAUGAAUGAUGAUAGCGACAUAAUGUACAUGUAUCUGAUGCCACCAUUUCUACACCCAAGCUUUCGAAGAGCUGAUCUUGUAGAGAAAUGGAUCUGGAUCGCCCAUGUCUGACCCAUCAACAGGGGCGGAUCCAGCUUUCGCCAAUAGGGGGGGGGGGCGAAAAAUAUUUUCAUCAACAUUUUUCCCGAUUGGCCACUAUAAUCUGAUUUUUUUGUUGGUUUUUCAGGGGGUAGUCCUAACAAUAGACUGAAGUUUUAAGUAUAUGUUAGUUUUUAUUGUUAUAAACAAGAUAAGGUAUCUCAUGUGGUCUUAAUAAAUGAUGCGAGCGCGAUGUGCGAGCUAAAAUUCUUUGAUAUUUUAUGUCCUUAGAACUGAAGAAUCUGAGCUUUUUUUUAUAAUCAUGAACAAAGAUAAGUAUCCAACUAAACAAUGCGAGCGCGAAGCGCGAGCCGAAAAUUGUAUUAUAGUAACGUGAAAAGGGACUCAAUUAGGACUGUUUUUAGCGAUUAAUGAAGAGGAUACAAGUAUCACCAAUUAAAUAAUGAGAGUGCGAAGCGCGAGCUCAAAAUUUUUGAUAUUCCGACCUGAAAACUGGACAGUCUAAGCGCGUUUUUAUUUAAAUAAAGAACAAGCUGUGUGUCUCAACAAUUAAAUGCGAGCGCGAAGCACGAGCUUAAUUUUUUGAUAUACUCACAUGAUAAAGGAGCAUUUUGACAAAUUUUGGAAAGAAUUUUCAAAGAGGAUAGGUAUCUCACAAAUUAAACAAUGCGAACGCGCAGCGCGAGCUGAAAAUUUUGAUAUAACAAUUUGUGUAAAUCAAACAAAAUAAUGAAAGCUUGAUGUGCGAGCUAAAAUAUUGUGUGCAAAUUGAUUUCAGAACUGGAUAUAUUUAGUGUCAUUUAAUCCUCUUGAAUGGGAUUCAUUACACAGGCAAUGCGAACGCGAAGCGCGAGCGAAAAUUUGUAUAUAAAGUCUAUUUUCCAAUUCUUCCCCUCACCUUUUUCUUGUUUCCUUUCGGGGUUGGGCCGGCCGUUACGAGGCUGUAAAUUACACAUCAUGGGUAUAAUACCUCUUUCCUACUUUUCUUUCUGAUUUUGUAGUUUCUAUCAAGUUAAAGAGUACACUUUUUCUGCAAGUUGUCAAAAAAUAGGGGGGGGGCGGCUCGGCCCCCUCCUGGAUCCGCUCCUGAUCAAGAAGAGAUCAUCUCAUAGCGAGAUACUGGAUCUCACCAUGUCUACACUACUAAGAAGAGAUCAUCUCAUAGCGAGAUACUCGAUCUCAACAUGUCUACACUACUAUAUAAGAGGAGAUCAUCUCAUAGCGAGAUACUGGAUCUCACCAUGUCUACGCUACUAAGAGGAGAUCAUCUCAUAGCGAGAUACUGGGUCUUACCAUGUCUACACAACUAAGAGAUCAUCUCAUAUCGAGAUACUGGAUAUCACCAUGUCUACACUACUAAGAGGAGAUCAUUUCAUAGCGAGAUGUUGGAUCUCACCAUGUCUACACUACUAAGAUGAGAUCAUCUCAUAGCGAGAUACUGGAUUAUUUCAACAUGUCUACACCAUCAAGUAAAAGUGAUCUCAUAGCCCGGUCUCGUAGCUACAUGGUGGACCUCACCAUGUCUAUAGACACGUACAUACACACUUAAGAAGAGAUUAUGUAUACACCAUUAAGAAGAGAUCAUAGUGAGAUGCUGAAAAUAUAACUAUUUCUACAGCAUUAUAAGAACAGAUCAUCUAAUAGUGAGAUUCAACAUGUCUAGUAAAGAAUGAUACUGGAUUUUACCCUGUCUACAGCAUGAAUACCAAACUGAUCUCAAAGAGAGAUGCUGAAAAGAUGCUACACUAAUUACAUUAAAAGAGCAUUCUCCCUGCUUUACAACUCUACUCGCCGACUCGAGUCAGUUUUCUCUUAUUUUCCCAACCACUCAGCCCUCUCAAAUGUUCUGGUUAACAUUCCUUUCAAUACUCAUUUUAUAAAAGACAAAAACUCAGCAAUGUACCAUAAACAUGUUCCGUUAUUAUCAUUACCGCAAUGCAAACCUUCAAACAUCGUUGUGGUGCUUUAUGUGAUAUGAUGUAAAACUGCUUGAUCUAAAAAGUUCCCUGAUGUCACCAUGCUUAUAUCAUCAUUAUAUAGCUUAAUAUCUAUUUAUCAUAAUUUUUUAGUCAUUCAUUCGGCUAAAUAAAAUGCUUAAGGAACUGAUUUCAAGGUGGUCCAAGGGCCAAAACUGAACGUGUUGACAACAAUCUCGGCAUAAUGGUAGGUGAACGAAAACGAAUUUAUGAUACAAACCAAACAUGUAGGCCUAUCUGUGAAACUGGACCACAGAAUCUACAAAACCAGUAUAAUGUCAAGGGUUGGAAUAUAACAGUCUACUUAUUGUGAUAUGUUUUGAUAGAUACCUGCCUAUACCUAUUACUGCUUGUUCGGCUCAAGCUUUCAACUGAUGAUAAACUCCAUAGUUUAUCUCAUGAAGCUAAUUAAAUGGCAUGGACGUUAAUUAUUGGGAUAUCAAAUAACGCUAACGACCAAGCCGUUCUCCCUCUUCCGCAAAUACUAAUUAAAGGUAAAUUAAAUUUUCGAUUACUUUUAUGACGGACGUGAUGAACAGGUAUUUCUAUGUAUACGCUUCUCGGUUUUUAAGCCGAUCAGGGGCACGAGACUGAACAUUCCCAUUUCAAAACAUCCUUAUUGAGUUAUGUAAUUUUACUUUGGCCGUUAGGGAUCUCUGCUUUAUUAUCUGGAGCAUGGAAGUGCAAUACUCUCAACUUUAAAAUAAUGCAUGAAUGAGGAUUCAAACGAGACGAAAUCGGAGUCAUUGUGAUUAUACGCUAUAGGGGGAGAGAGAUGGGUGGCGAUAAAGAGACGUAGACAGAGAGAGCGAGGGAGAGAGAGAGAGAGAGAGGUGGAGUGAGAUGCUAUAAUUACUAAUAGAUGUUUACACACUUAUAAAUAGCUUCAUGAUGGAAAAUCGCAAUUUAAUUUCUGUGAGGGUGCAAUUGAACUUUUGAACUUCAUUCAGUGAGCAGUCAACGGGAAUAUUUGACGAUUAGUCGGCCAUUAGCAAAACUAUUAAAAUAGUUGCUUUUGGCUUACAUCUCAUAAUUUUGUAGAAGUGCAAAGGAAGUAUUAGAAUGAGUCCUCUUACAAAAAAAGAUAGUGCUGGUCUGCAACCCCUCUUUUGGUGCGAAAGAUGAACAAUGACCGACGAGCAUUGUAUUGUAAUAGCUCAUCGUAUCUACCCUAAGUUCUUAAGGGUCUGAACUAUAAAAAAUACCUCUGUCGGCCAAGGGGAAACCAAUUAGUAGACCGUGCCCUCUUUUACAUCUUAAUCAUGUUCGUAAUUAAGUGUCGGUAAUAAAGUGGCCGUUGAGUUGAUAUAUCAUGUAUGAACUUUACUUCCUUUGAAUACCCUGUGCGAUUAUUAACAUUCCGACUUUAAUGAGCUUAUUUACAACAUCACAGCCAUUGAUUACAGCCGCCAUUGAUUGCGAUGUACUUCUAGUAUUCCACUUUUUGUGUAAAAGGAUGACAUGGUGGCCUGUAUUAUGAACUCCAGUCAAACUUAAACUGUUUUUUAAUUUUCUUAAAUCAUGGAAGGAUAUGAGUGUCGAACAUUAUUUAGCUUACACUGCAUUUUUUUGCAAUAUUACUGGAAUCGGAUCAAGGACCCGACUAGAAAAAGGCUUUCGAGCUGUCGUGGGCUAUCCUGUGCAAGCCUAUUGUUUUUAAAUGCUACAGUAUAUUGUUUUGGUGACGCGCCAAAUAAAAUCAAUCAAUAUAACAGGCAAUGUAUAACAUUACAAAAUCAUUUUUAUUUCCUCUAAAACAUAAUGUUAGUCCCAAAAUAAUCAUGUUUGAUAUGUUUAAGACAAUAUGAGGUAUAUCGUAUAAAUGAAAUAAAGUGGAUCAUUCAAUUUUCAGACAGUUUUUUAUCCUACAGCUGGGUAUU